AACCAGCACCUCAAGUGGUCAGGAUGAUUAUUGGGCCUAAAGCAUCCGUAGCCUGUUCUGUAAGUUUUCGGUUAAAUCUAUGCGCUCAACGUAUAGGCUGCCGAAAAUACUGCAGAACUAGGGAGUGGGAGAGGUAGACGGUACUCGGUAGGAAGGGGUAAAAUGCUUUGAUCUAUCGAUGACCACCUGUGGCGAAGGCGGUCUACCAGAACACGUCCGACGGUGAGGGAUGAAAGCUGGGGGAGCAAACCGG
rnacentral:rRNA from 1 species